rnacentral:rRNA from 1 species
GACGAACGCUGGCGGCGUGCUUAACACAUGCAAGUCGAACGGAAAGGCCCUGCUUUUGUGGGGUGCUCGAGUGGCGAACGGGUGAGUAACACGUGAGUAACCUGCCCUUGACUUUGGGAUAACUUCAGGAAACUGGGGCUAAUACCGGAUAGGAGCUCCUGCUGCAUGGUGGGGGUUGGAAAGUUUCGGCGGUUGGGGAUGGACUCGCGGCUUAUCAGCUUGUUGGUGGGGUAGUGGCUUACCAAGGCUUUGACGGGUAGCCGGCCUGAGAGGGUGACCGGCCACAUUGGGACUGAGAUACGGCCCAGACUCCUACGGGAGGCAGCAGUGGGGAAUAUUGCACAAUGGGCGGAAGCCUGAUGCAGCAACGCCGCGUGCGGGAUGACGGCCUUCGGGUUGUAAACCGCUUUCGCCUGUGACGAAGCGUGAGUGACGGUAAUGGGUAAAGAAGCACCGGCUAACUACGUGCCAGCAGCCGCGGUGAUACGUAGGGUGCGAGCGUUGUCCGGAUUUAUUGGGCGUAAAGGGCUCGUAGGUGGUUGAUCGCGUCGGAAGUGUAAUCUUGGGGCUUAACCCUGAGCGUGCUUUCGAUACGGGUUGACUUGAGGAAGGUAGGGGAGAAUGGAAUUCCUGGUGGAGCGGUGGAAUGCGCAGAUAUCAGGAGGAACACCAGUGGCGAAGGCGGUUCUCUGGGCCUUUCCUGACGCUGAGGAGCGAAAGCGUGGGGAGCGAACAGGCUUAGAUACCCUGGUAGUCCACGCUGUAAACGGUGGGUACUAGGUGUGGGGUCCAUUCCACGGGUUCCGUGCCGUAGCUAACGCUUUAAGUACCCCGCCUGGGGAGUACGGCCGCAAGGCUAAAACUCAAAGGAAUUGGCGGGGCCCCGCACAAGCGGCGGAGCAUGCGGAUUAAUUCGAUGCAACGCGUAGAACCUUACCUGGGUUUGACAUGGAUCGGGAGUGCUCAGAGAUGGGUGUGCCUCUUUUGGGGUCGGUUCACAGGUGGUGCAUGGCUGUCGUCAGCUCGUGUCGUGAGAUGUUGGGUUAAGUCCCGCAACGAGCGCAACCCUUGUUCACUGUUGCCAGCACGUUAUGGUGGGGACUCAGUGGAGACCGCCGGGGUCAACUCGGAGGAAGGUGGGGAUGACGUCAAGUCAUCAUGCCCCUUAUGUCCAGGGCUUCACGCAUGCUACAAUGGCUGGUACAGAGAGUGGCGAGCCUGUGAGGGUGAGCGAAUCUCGGAAAGCCGGUCUCAGUUCGGAUUGGGGUCUGCAACUCGACCUCAUGAAGUCGGAGUCGCUAGUAAUCGCAGAUCAGCAACGCUGCGGUGAAUACGUUCCCGGG